CGGCUGCAUCUUACUCUCCCACUUACUUCGUUUGUCCAAGUCAAGGUAAAGCACUCCCUGCAAACGGGCUGAUCAAAACUGGUACUUAAGGAGCACUCAGAAACCAAGGAAAAUUGUGAAAGAGAUCCGUGAGCCAACAAGCACAAUAAGCAAAACAAUGCGACUCAUUAGGAGGCACCUGGGAGAAACAAACAGGCUUUAAUGAAUUGGCUGAAUGAGUGAUGGAAACCGGCGGCUGAGCUGGUCCCAGCUUGGCAGAGGGAUUGUUCACUCUGGAGAUCUGCAGUCAACUAAUAAGCCUAAUGAUGUUCAAUGAUUCCGCAUUUGGGCACCUUUAAUAAAUCCACUUGCACUGGAUUUAUAGUCUAGCUAUAUCUUUGUUUCUUCCCCUUGCCCUGAAAUUCACUGAUGGAGAGCUGCCUUCCUUUCAUUUCCAAACCAGUUCUCUCCGAGGCCUUGAAACACUUCUGCGAAGAAACCUGAAUUUACAUUGUCUGCGAUAUUAUAUAACUCAUCCUAGUUACAGUAACAACAGGACUGCCAGAAAGCUUUGGAGGCAUCCAGUCUUCAAAGAAAGCUCCAUUGUACUCAGGAAGCAAAGAGGUUUAAAUAUGUGAUUACAAUUGGCCCCGUAUCAUCAUCUCCUAUGUGUUAAACCAAGUUUUAAAGGACGCCUGGUUCUCCGGUUCUCUACAUGUGAGCAGAGCUCCAGCUGUAAUGCCUGUUAGCUUCAGCUCAGAAAAAGAAGAUGGACACAAAACCAAGAGCAGAGCUUUGGCUGAGCUAGCACCCUUUAAAGGACCUUUCUGGAAUCCCCACCCCCCUGCCCUCUCCUUGUAUUGAUUGGCCAGGACCCUGUUGCUUGACCACCCCUGCCUGAAAGGGACAGGGAAAUGCAUGCUGCACCAAAUAAAAUUCAAGUUCUGUUUGUGAGAGAGGAGAAAGAAUAUUGGACAGGCGGCCAGCAGGCUCUGUCACAAAUGAGCAAAGAUGAUCACAGUUAUGUGUAUCUUUGCCUGCAAUCUAGAAAAACAGCAGCUUUUUGUAAGGCAUCUUUGCUGGUUAUUUUUCUCCCGGGCCAUCAUAUUUAAUGCAUCUUUUUAAUGCUCA